rnacentral:lncRNA from 1 species
AGUGUUCGGGGCCGUUUUGGCGGCUAUGCAGGAUUGGCAGGAGCUGCGAUGCUCACACUUGCCUCGCCGACCGCCAUUUCACAUCCAGCAGAGGAGGCGGGGGCAGCCGCUGAGACGGUUUUUCACAAGGUGACCAUGCUUUGGGAUUUUCAUAGUUUGAGUAAUUCCUAUGGGCUCUACCACCCAGCGAGUUAAAGAAGACAAGAUUCCACCCCCAGGGGGUUGUGGUUCUGGGAAUGUGAGCAGCUUGUUUUCAGGAGAUCUGCAUCUUGAUCUGGCCUGCUAUUAGGAUCUGUGGUGGUGGUGCCUGUCUGGUUUUAGUUGUUUCUUUUAUCUUACACAGAUUUUUGUAAGUUAUUUGCAUAUAAAGGUUUUUGAAAAGUGAAUGUUUUAUGGGGGCAUCUUGCUUAUACAAAGAAAAAUUAAAACUGUUUUAAAAUAA